AUUGAACGCUGGCGGCAUGCCUUACACAUGCAAGUCGAACGGUAACAGGUCUUCGGAUGCUGACGAGUGGCGAACGGGUGAGUAAUACAUCGGAACGUGCCUAGUAGUGGGGGAUAACUACUCGAAAGAGUGGCUAAUACCGCAUGCGAUCUACGGAUGAAAGCAGGGGAUCGCAAGACCUUGUGCUACUAGAGCGGCCGAUGGCAGAUUAGGUAGUUGGUGGGAUACAAGCUUACCAAGCCGACGAUCUGUAGCUGGUCUGAGAGGAGGAUCAGCCACACUGGGACUGAGACACGGCCCAGACUCCUACGGGAGGCAGCAGUGGGGAAUUUUGGACAAUGGGCGCAAGCCUGAGCCAGCAAUGCCGCGUGCAGGAUGAAGGCCUUCGGGUUGUAAACUGCUUUUGUACGGAAAGAAAAGCCCUGGGUUAAUACCCUGGGGUCAUGACGGUACCGUAAGAAUAAGCACCGGCUAACUACGUGCCAGCAGCCGCCGUAACAC
rnacentral:rRNA from 1 species